rnacentral:rRNA from 1 species
UAGGGAAUCUUCGGCAAUGGACGAAAGUCUGACCGAGCAACGCCGCGUGAGUGAAGAAGGUUUUCGGAUCGUAAAACUCUGUUGUUAGAGAAGAACAAGGACGUUAGUAACUGAACGUCCCCUGACGGUAUCUAACCAGAAAGCCACGGCUAACUACGUGCCAGCAGCCGCGGUAAUACGUAGGUGGCAAGCGUUGUCCGGAUUUAUUGGGCGUAAAGCGAGCGCAGGCGGUUUCUUAAGUCUGAUGUGAAAGCCCCCGGCUCAACCGGGGAGGGUCAUUGGAAACUGGGAGACUGGAGUGCAGAAGGGGGGAGGGGAAUUCCAUGUGUAGCGGUGAAAUGCGUAGAUAUAUGGAGGAACACCAGUGGCGAAGGCGGCUCUCUGGUCUGUAACAGACGCUGAGGCACGAAAGCGUGGGGAGCAAACAGG